UACGUAGGCAGCGAGCGUUGUUCGGAAUUACUGGGCGUAAAGAGUGUGUAGGCGGUGCUCUAAGUUCGGUGUGAAAUCUCCUGGCUUAACUGGGAGGGUGCGCCGGAAACUGGAGUGCUCGAACGUGGGAGAGGAAAGCGGAAUUCCUGGUGUAGCGGUGAAAUGCGUAGAUAUCAGGAGGAACACCUGCGGUGUAGACGGCUUUCUGGACCAUUGCUGACGCUGAGACACGAAAGCGUGGGUAGCAAACAGG
rnacentral:rRNA from 1 species